UAGAGUUUUUAAUGUGUAAAAUCAGGUUGUAAAUAGGUACAAUUUCAAUUUUUCCUUUCCAAUUUUAUUUGUUAAUUUUAUUGCUCUGGCUAUAAUUUCUAAUAUUGAGUAAGAGUUGAGUGAGUAUAGACACAUUUCUUGAUCAUGAUCUUAUUGGGAAUGCUUUCAUUUAGUGUGAGAUUUGUUGAGAGCCACAGCGAGUUUGGAAUGGCCCCUGGCAUUUUACCAGAAGUAUGGUUGAGAGGCGAGUCAUUAAGAUGAUGUUGGAUUGUAACAGGUUGUGUAUUCAAUUGUAUAUUAAACCUUUACUGUCGGGUAAUAGGAUGGCUCUUGCUGCCUCGGGCACCUGCUACUUUGGAGUUCCUUGAGUUCUCGCAGGGUUCCCAGAGUGAGUGCGCGGGCAGCCUGAGCAGCCCGGGGGAGGGAGUUCUGGUUGGUGUGUGGCAUGUUCCUGGAGGAGCCGCGUGGGUGGCAUUUGGGAGAGUUCCCGGGGAGUGUGCGUGGAAUGCUGUGG
rnacentral:lncRNA from 1 species